rfam:Lysinibacillus sp. BF-4 contig00001, whole genome shotgun sequence.
AAUUAAGCGUUGAAGAAGAAGAGUAACACGAACUUUCCAUUUAAGAGAGUCAGCGGUUGGUGUAAGCUGAUAAUGAGAAAACGUGCGAAUGGGCUUCUGAGCUUCUAGUCCGAAAUUAAUAGUAGGCGCUAGCGAUUACACCUUAUCGUUACACAAGGCAAACUGUUGAUUGACAGUUUUGAGUGAGUCUUUUUUCUAGACUAAUUAAGGUGGCACCACGGCAUUCCCCGUCCUUUUG